GGUCCCGUGUCGCUCAGUUGGUAGAUCAUGAUGCUAACGAUGCCAAAGUUGUAGGUUCAAUUCCCGCAGGGGGCC